rnacentral:rRNA from 1 species
AAAUUGAAGAGUUUGAUCAUGGCUCAGAUUGAACGCUGGCGGCAGGCCUAACACAUGCAAGUCGAACGGUAACAGGAAGAAGCUUGCUUCUUUGCUGACGAGUGGCGGACGGGUGAGUAAUGUCUGGGAAACUGCCUGAUGGAGGGGGAUAACUACUGGAAACGGUAGCUAAUACCGCAUAACGUCGCAAGACCAAAGAGGGGGACCUUCGGGCCUCUUGCCAUCAGAUGUGCCCAGAUGGGAUUAGCUAGUAGGUGGGGUAACGGCUCACCUAGGCGACGAUCCCUAGCUGGUCUGAGAGGAUGACCAGCCACACUGGAACUGAGACACGGUCCAGACUCCUACGGGAGGCAGCAGUGGGGAAUAUUGCACAAUGGGCGCAAGCCUGAUGCAGCCAUGC